CGUAGGGUGCGAGCGUUGUCCGGAAUUAUUGGGGCGUAAAAGAGCUUGUAGGCGGUUUGUCGCGUCUGCUGUGGAAAAAUCCGGGGGCUCAAACCCCGGACUUGCAGUGGGUACGGGCAGACUAGAGUGUGGUAGGGGAGACUGGAAUUCCUGGUGUAGCGGUGGAAUGCGCAGAUAUCAGGAGGAACACCGAUGGCGAAGGCAGGUCUCUGGGCCACUACUGACGCUGAGAAGCGAAAGCAUGGGGGAGCGAACAGGAUU
rnacentral:rRNA from 1 species